rnacentral:lncRNA from 1 species
AUGGGAACGAGCAGGGAGGGGCCGGAGCCAGGAGAAGAUCGGGUGAAAAGCGGCUCCACACAAAGCCCUGGAGCAUGCCCGGGAAUCCCUUCCCGAGAUUCCGAUCCCUUCCCGGGGAUCCCUUCUCCAGGAUUCCGAUCCCUUCCCGGGAUUCCCGUCCCUUCCCGGGAUUCCGAUCCCUUCCCGGGAUUCCGGCACCUUCCUGGGAUUCCGGUCCCUUCCUGGGGAUCCCUUCUCCAGGAUUCCAGUCCCUUCCUCAGGUUUCCGAUCCCUUCCCGGGGAUUCCUGGGGACCCUUCCCCCAGGAUCCUUUCCCGGGGAUUCCAGUCCCUUCCCGGGGAUUCCUGUCCCUUCCUGGGGAUCCUUUCCCUGGGAUCCUUUCCCGGGCAUUCCAGUCCCUUCCCGGGAUUCUGGUCCCUUUCCCGGGAUUCCGGUCCCUCCGACUCUUCCACGCUGGAUUUGGAGCCGUUUCCCCGCGGAUCCGCGGCAGGACGAGCUCCCAGGAGAUGGAGGGAUUGGAGCAUCCCGGGCUCAGCCGGGAUCCUUUGGGGUCACCUCUGGGGUCAGCUCUGGGGUCCCCUCGGUGCUGCAGGGACCCCGGGCUGGGGCUGAUCCUGCAUCCCUGAGCAUCCCAAAUCCCUCUCCUGCUCUCCUGGGGCCGCGCAGCGCUGAGGACAGAGCGGUGGGACUGGGGAUGGGGGGAGCAGGGAUCAGGCUGGGGGUGUCUGUGGGAACCCCGAAUCCCCAGGCUGGGGGUGUCCGUGGGAAUCCUGUAUCCCAGUUUGGGGUGUCCAUGGGAAUCCCAAAUNNNNNNNNNNGUGGGAAUCCUGUAUCCCAGUUUGGGGUGUCCAUGGGAAUCCCAAAUCCUAGGUUCUGGGUGUCUGUGGGAAUCCUGUAUCCCAGUUUGGGGUGUCUGUGGGAAUCCUGGAUCCCAGUUUGCUGUGUCCCUGGGAAUCCUGAAUUCCAGUUUAGGAUGUCUGUGGGAAUCCCAAAUCCCGGUUUGGGGUGUCCAUGGGAAUCCCGGUUUGGGGUGUCUUGGGAAUCCCGGAUCCCGUUUUGGGGUGUCCCUGGGAAUCCCGGAUCCCAGUUUGGGGUGUCCCUGGGAAUCCCGGAUCCUGUUUUGGAGUGUCCCUGGGAAUCCCGGGUCCCAGUUUGGGGCGUCCCUGGGAAUCCCGGAUCCCGUUUUGGGGUGUCCCUGGGAAUCCCGGUUUGGGGUGUCCAUGGGAAUCCUGAAUCCCGGUUUGGGGUGUUCAUGGAAAUCCCGGAUCCCGGUUCGGGGUGUCCAUGGGAAUCCCGGUUUGGGGUGUCUAUGGGAAUCCCGGAUCCCGGUUCGGGGUGUCCAUGGAAAUCCUGA